rnacentral:tRNA from 1 species
GUUCCUGGCUGAGUGGUCAAUGUCACUGUCUACAGAUCAUAGGCUCCCAGGUUCAAGCCCUGCCUGGAACA